rnacentral:pre_miRNA from 1 species
CUAAUACUCCCUCCGUCCCAUAUUAAGUGACUUUCUAUUACAUGUAUCUAGACGCUUUUUAGGCAUAGAUACAUCCAUAUUUGGACAAAUUUGAGUCACUUAAUAUGGGACGGAGGGAGUAGAUA